rnacentral:tRNA from 1 species
GGGAUUGUGGCUCAGAGGUAGAGCGCUUGCCUAGCAUGCAUGAGGCACUGGGUUCAAUCCUCAGCACCA